AGUGAACGCUGGCGGCAGGCCUAACACAUGCAAGUCGAACGGCAGCACAGCAGUAGCAAUACUGUGGGUGGCGAGUGGCGGACGGGUGAGGAAUACAUCGGAAUCUGCCUUAUCGUGGGGGAUAACGUAGGGAAACUUACGCUAAUACCGCAUACGACCUACGGGUGAAAGCGGAGGACCUUCGGGCUUCGCGCGAUAAGAUGAGCCGAUGUCGGAUUAGCUAGUUGGCGGGGUAAAGGCCCACCAAGGCGACGAACCGUAGAUGGUCUGAGGUGACGAUCAGCCGCGCUGGAACUGAGAGCCGGUCCGUACUCCUAAGGGAGGCAGCAGUGGGUAAUAUUGUACAGUGGGCGCAAGCCUGAUCCAGCCUUGCCGCGUGGGUGAAGAAGGCCUUCGGGUUGUAAAGCCCUUUUGUCCGGAAAGAAAAGCAUCGGGUUAAUACCUCGGUGUUCUGACGGUACCGGAAGAAUAAGCACCGGCUAACUUCGUGCCAGCCGCCGCGGUAAUAC
rnacentral:rRNA from 1 species